UGCAGCAACACGGCUUCUUACGGGGGAUGCCACCGGCGGUCCCCUGUCGUUCACUCAGGCGAGAUACUGCGUGGUGGUGGCUGAGGAUGCGGCACCCUCAGCCUCACUCGCCACCGUACGGGCCGUCCACAAGCAAGGCGCCGAGGUGAGGUACACGCUGACGCAGGGCAACAGGCAAGGGCUCUUCUCUGUCAGCCACGCCUCCGGGACCAUCACUCUGCAGGCGCCGCUUGACUACGAGGCCGCGGACAAGCAUGAGUUCGUGGUCCGCGGAGAGGGCGGCGGAUCGGCAGCGCACGCCUUGGUGAGGGUCUUGGUGGCUGACGUGAACGACAACCCUCCCGUGUUUGUACGACCAGG